CCUACGGGAGGCAGCAGUGGGGAAUUUUGGACAAUGGGCGAAAGCCUGAUCCAGCGACGCCGCGUGGAGGACGAAGGUCUUCGGAUUGUAAACUCCUUUUGCAGGGGACGAAAAAAAUGAUGGUACUCUGCGAAUAAGCCACGGCUAACUACGUGCCAGCAGCCGCGGUAAUACGUAGGUGGCGAGCGUUACUCGGAAUCACUAGGCGUAAAGCGCGUGUAGGCGGUAUUUUAAGUCUGUUAUGAAAUCUUAUGGCUCAACCAUAAAAUGUCGACCGAUACUGAAGUACUAGAGUGAGGCAGGGGAAACUGGAAUUCCAGGUGUAGCGGUGAAAUGCGUAGAUAUCUGGAAGAACACCAGUGGCGAAGGCGACUUUCUGGGCCAUUUCUGACACUGAGGCGCGAAAGCUAGGGGAGCAAACGGGAUUAGAUCCCCCUGUAUU
rnacentral:rRNA from 1 species